GACCCAGCAUGGUGUAGCGGUAUGAGUGUUGGGCUAUGACUCUGAAGAUCAGGGUUCAAAUCCCUGCUCAGUCA